CAGCCGCCGCGGUAAUACAGAGGAUGCAAGCGUUAUCCGGAAUGAUUGGGCGUAAAGCGUCUGUAGGUGGCUUUUCAAGUCCGCCGUCAAAUCCCAGGGCUCAACCCUGGACAGGCGGUGGAAACUACCAAGCUGGAGUACGGUAGGGGCAGAGGGAAUUUCCAGUGGAGCGGUGAAAUGCGUUGAGAUCAGAAAGAACACCAACGGAGAAAGCACUCUGCUGGGCCGACACUGACACUGAGAGACGAAAUCUAGGGGAGCAAAUGGGAUUAGAUACCCCCGUAGUCCCUGUCUCUUAUAC
rnacentral:rRNA from 1 species